rnacentral:rRNA from 1 species
CCCUUAGACGUUCUGGGCCGCACGCGCGCUACACUGACGAAGGCAACGAGCUACUCUUCACCGAAAGGUGUGGGUAAUCUUUUGGAACUUCGUCGUGCUGGGGAUAGAUCCUUGCAAUUUUUGAUCUUAAACGAGGAAUUCCUAGUAAGCGCAAGUCAUCAACUUGCGUUGAUUACGUCCCUGCCCUUUGUACACACCGCCCGUCGCUACUACCGAUUGAAUGGUUUAGUGAGGCCUUCGGAUCCGCGACUCGUUUGUGGAGAAGUUGGACAAACUCAGUCAUUUAGAGGAAGUAAAAGUCGUAACA